rnacentral:rRNA from 1 species
AGACCCGAAACCCGGUGAUCUAGCCAUGGGCAGGUUGAAGGUUGGGUAACACUAACUGGAGGACCGAACCGACUAAUGUUGAAAAAUUAGCGGAUGACCUGUGGCUGGGGGUGAAAGGCCAAUCAAACCGGGAGAUAGCUGGUUCUCCCCGAAAGCUAUUUAGGUAGCGCCUCGUGAAUUCAUCUCCGGGGGUAGAGCACUGUUUCGGCUAGGGGGCCAUCCCGGCUUACCAACCCGAUGCAAACUGCGAAUACCGGAGAAUGUUAUCACGGGAGACACACGGCGGGUGCUAACGUCCGUCGUGAAGAGGGAAACAACCCAGACCGCCAGCUAAGGUCCCAAAGUCAUGGUUAAGUGGGAAACGAUGUGGGAAGGCCCAGACAGCCAGGAUGUUGGCUUAGAAGCAGCCAUCAUUUAAAGAAAGCGUAAUAGCUCACUGGUCGAGUCGGCCUGCGCGGAAGAUGUAACGGGGCUAAACCAUGCACCGAAGCUGCGGCAGCGAACGUAUCACCCAAGACAACUUUACGGAGUUGACGAUUGACGGAGCGAAGCGACGUCAAAGCGUUCAUUAAAGUCGAGUUGGCUUAGGGAUACGUUCGUUGGGUAGGGGAGCGUUCUGUAAGCCUGUGAAGGUGUGUCGUGAGGCAUGCUGGAGGUAUCAGAAGUGCGAAUGCUGACAUAAGUAACGAUAAAGCGGGUGAAAAGCCCGCUCGCCGGAAGACCAAGGGUUCCUGUCCAACGUUAAUCGGGGCAGGGUGAGUCGACCCCUAAGGCGAGGCCGAAAGGCGUAGUCGAUGGGAAACGGGUUAAUAUUCCCGUACUUGGUGUUACUGCGAAGGGGGGACGGAGAAGGCUAUGUUGGCCGGGCGACGGUUGUCCCGGUUUAAGCGUGUAGGUGUGUGUUCCAGGUAAAUCCGGUUCACUUUAACACUGAGGCGUGACGACGAGGCACUACGGUGCUGAAGCAACAAAUGCCCUGCUUCCAGGAAAAGCCUCUAAGCAUCAGGUAACAUCAAAUCGUACCCCAAACCGACACAGGUGGUCAGGUAGAGAAUACCAAGGCGCUUGAGAGAACUCGGGUGAAGGAACUAGGCAAAAUGGUGCCGUAACUUCGGGAGAAGGCACGCUGACACGUAGGUGAAGUGAUUUACUCAUGGAGCUGAAGUCAGUCGAAGAUACCAGCUG